rnacentral:lncRNA from 1 species
GAGCUCUCUGCCAAAAAAGAUAAAGCAUAUUACUGCAGUUUUGUGCUAAUAAACCUUGCAAAGCAGUGAGAUUUUCUAAUUUUCUAGUUCUUGUUUUUCAUAGCAAUAUCUGUUGACCUAAACCUGGCAUUCAGCAUAGCAUAUAUGUGCCAGAAAUUGCAGAGGUGGACAAGAGCAGAAAAGGAGUUCCUGAUUCUUUCCAGGCAUCUAAGCUGAGAUAGUCAUGAAUUUCGAUGGUACUCAAAGAAGAAGAGGAAAUUUCAGCACAUCUAUUCUUUCAACAUGUCUGAUAUUUUGGGAACAAACCUUGAAGUGGUGCACAGUUCAGGCACAAGGUCAUUUGAGGUUUGACUCCAUUGUCACUCUGGACCACACCUUCCAUUUUGCCUCAAUAGGACUUAGGUCAACCAAGCACAGUGAGAGUUAAAACAAAAAUCUCAAGACAAAAAUCUUGAUAGAGUCACCACUUUUUUGUUUCAAAAAUGUGUUUUUAUUUCUAUUGACACAUAUUUCAAGAGAGAACAGGAACUGAAUAAAAAAUCACUGUAUUCACUAAAAGAGAUAUCUUCCUAUUGCCUUGUUACAGAUAGUUUUUUUUUGAACCGCUAGUUGCUAAAACUAAUGAUUACCUCUGGCCUCAGUUGGAAAUAACCUACUAUCCAAUUAUAGUUUCCAGAACAGUUCCCUUCUCCUCUUUAGAGCAGAAGGCAACAGCAGUAACAGGUAAUUAGCAAGAACUGGAAGGACGGCAUAUUUUCUACACUGGGUGACAAUAUUGAGUUCAAUUGAGUGAAAGAAACAUUGAGUGAUUACAAUUGUUCAAUCUUCCAGUUCACUGAUUAUGUCUUUGCCUUCCCAUACUACUGUUGAGCCCAUCCG